rnacentral:rRNA from 1 species
GGGGAAUAUUGCACAAUGGGGGAAACCCUGAUGCAGCAACGCCGCGUGAGUGAUGAAGGCCUUCGGGUUGUAAAGCUCUGUCUUCAGGGACGAUAAUGACGGUACCUGAGGAGGAAGCCACGGCUAACUACGUGCCAGCAGCCGCGGUAAUACGUAGGUGGCAAGCGUUGUCCGGAUUUACUGGGCGUAAAGGGAGUGUAGGCGGAUACUUAAGUCAGAUGUGAAAUACCCGGGCUCAACUUGGGUGCUGCAUUUGAAACUGGGUGUCUAGAGUGCAGGAGAGGAAAGUGGAAUUCCUAGUGUAGCGGUGAAAUGCGUAGAGAUUAGGAAGAACACCAGUGGCGAAGGCGACUUUCUGGACUGUAACUGACGCUGAGGCUCGAAAGCGUGGGGAGCAAAC